UCCUCUGAGCUCAGGGACCAGCGUGACC
rnacentral:piRNA from 1 species